GCUCUGCUAUUCCUUUUAAAUUCCUCAUCAAGUCCUGUUAACUCUACUGUCAAAAGGAAUCAUGCUGUUCAUAGUACAUGAUUUGUCCUUGAGCAAGACCCCACCCUCAGCUCAAGGAGCAUAGGACUUAGCCUAAGUUGAUCAGUGCUUAUGUACAUCUGGUGACAGUGGUGGUUUAGGGUACAUGGUCCAAUCUGUGCUGAUCACACAUAAUGGAGUUUUUGAUUAAUAUCUUGGGAAAGAGACUCUGGUCUUCCCGGCCAACUUGAACGACAGAGGUUGUAGGGUAUGGAGCUGCUGUAGUCAUUUUGCAUCUUGUGGAGCCUGUAGUAAAAAUCAACCCAGUCGAAUGCAACAUUGGCUCUGGGUUCCUUAUAGGUGCUUCUUUCCAUGCUCUAAGUCCUGAUAGACUUGAGGCAGAGGAAACUAUAUUUCUCCUUCAUGGAUUAGGGGGUACAUAACAGCAUGGUCCAGGAAGAACUUGUAUAUGCAAUCUGUGAUCCUAGUACUUCCAUGGAAUAUUUUCAUUGCAUUGUCUUGAUCUCUGAACCAGUUAUGUGUUGCCAAGACUACAUCCUUUACCCUUAGGGGAGGGAAGAAAAAGGAGGGCCAACAGACAGGUGCACAAAAACACCUUCUAGUCUUAAUUAUUUUGUUUAUUGUCUCUCCCCCUACUAGAAUGUAAUCUUCACAGGGGCAAGAAUCUUUACCCAUUUGCUUCACCACUGUAACUCCAGUGCCUGGGACAGUGCUGCUGAGUGAUGAGGAAAAGCACUGCUCACUGGCCAAGCCUAACUGGAAUUUGGAGGGCAUUGUACUCCCAACAGAUCAGAGGGCAAGCAGACAGCAAGAGAUGUGCAGGUCACAGGAUGGAAGCUGUGUAUGGUCCUCACCAGCUUUGCUGCUGUUAGGCAUUUGAUUCCUGACUGAGACUGAAGGAAGAAAUGCAUUCCUGUUGAAACUGCUCAUUCGUUCUGAACUGCUGAUGCUCCCUUGAGGAUUUAUGGGUUCAACACUGCUGAACUGAGGAUUAGAAGUUUAACUCAAGGGCUGAUCUAUUUAGCCACCAUCCUGGAAAGAAAAGCCCAGCCUACCACGGAGACACUGUCUAGUCUCACUCGGCACCUGCUCUGCCUUCGUGUACGAUCCAGCCAGGAAAAUGAAAGUCCAUGUCUCCUUAACCCCCUUGAAGAGUUCCACGUGUUCUCUAGUCCUGCCAAGCAGCUGGCCUUCCUUCAGACCUGGACAUGGAUAUGCCUGGGAGGGUGGAUGUCUGGAUACCAUGGGGGCCAUGAGUAUCCUGGGUUCUCUGGUUUGGCCCAAUCUCAUCACAUGAGUCCUUAAAAUCGGAAUGACUUUCCCAACAUGAGCCAGAAGAAGGAGAGAUUUGAAACGUAAGAAGGACUCAACCUGCCACUACUGGCUUCAGAGAUGAGGGAAGAAGCCACGAGCUAAGGAAGGCAGGGGCCUCUAGAAGCUGAAGAGCAAGAAGACAGAUUCCACUUGAGUCUCCAGCAAGGAAACUGGCCUUACCAACAGCUCGAUUUUAACCCGGUGAGACUCAUGUUGGGCUUCUGAUCUCUAGAACGUAAGAUCAUAAAUUUGGGUGUUUAGGCCACUAAAUGUGUGAUCCUUUGUUAGGGCACCAGUAGAAAUCUAGCAUGUCUGUGUUGGAGCCCUAGCAUUCCAUUUGAGGAGUCACUGGUGCCAGGUGUCUGACUGGGGUGUCAGAGGGCUUUUCUUGGGACCGUUUGGUGGUGGGUUGGACUUUUCUACUAGACAGGCUACAUAAUUUGUGGGGCCCAGUGCAAAAUGGAAAUGUGGAGCCCUUGUUCAAAAUGUCAGAAAAUAGUGCCAUUUAUGGUAUUAAAAU